rnacentral:tRNA from 1 species
AGCCAGUGUGGUAUAGUGGUUUGAGUGUUGAACUACAACUCUGGAAACCAGGGUUCAAGUCCCUGCUUGGCUA